CGAAAACAUUUCCAACAGAAUCCGUAAAGUUUUUUUUGAAGAUUGUGUUGCCGGAAAAUCUUAUGACGACAAUAAUUGUGGAUCUUGGGUUGAAAAGAUUAGAUGAAACUGGUUCCAAAAAGACGGAAAUGUUAUGCAAUAGUUCCAACUUAGUAAACGAUGCCAGCAAACAGAUUCCAGUAUGAUAGAAGAUACUACGACGAUUUUCCGGCUGUUGCUGUAUGAUUUCUUUCGGAUGUGUUCCUGGACCCGGGUGUUUAACGGUUCAUUACUAAGGUUGUGGUGAUAAUGAUGGUCCAUUGCGUACACGAAAUAAGAUUGGGUUCGUUCCGAGAGGCUCAUGAAUUGGAACAACUCGCAGACAAAUAACAGCAAUUGUUAGAAUACCGUUCAACCAUUUUACCGACUUAAUAAUAUUUUUGU